GCCAGAAUAUUUUAAUGAGAUGAGAUUUAUAAAUUAGUCAAAUUCAUGAGCAGUCUAAUCCUUUGCUGUUUAAGCUCAGUUAGACUAUAAAGCAAAUAUCUUCGCCUAUAUUUAACUUAUGAAAUAUAGCUUCCAAAACCUCUUCGAAGUAGUUUUAGAACGUUUUAUACGAACCACUUAAUGAGGCUUAUGGCGGUCUUAUUUCAGAUCAGUGAGAGUAACAGACGAGUACAGGCGAAUAAUAGACGAGUACAGACGAGUGGUGGACGAGUACGGACGAGUACGGAAGAGUAAAGUUUCUAAAUACGAAUAUUAAACAACAUUUUUACGGAUGAAUGAUGCAAUAUUUUUCAAAAUGGUAAAUGGCGACUACAGUAUGCGAGAUUUCUGUCUUUAGCCGCUAUUGUAUGUGAAGGUGAGAACUGUACUACUAUAAUCAUAAAAUUAUUUGUAAUUUUCGGUCAGUUUGGAUCGUACUUGUGUACCCCACUUGAGUAAAAUUAUGCUACGAAAAUAUCACGUGAUUGAAACCCAUGAAUUUAAUACUUUGCUCAACGACAUAAAGUACCUUUAUAGUAUGAUUAUCCCCGAGCCGACGGCGCGAAGCGCCGUGCGAGGGUACUAAUUCCCCCCCGGCUAUUCACACCCGGGGAAAAGAAAGCAUUAGCGAAGUCUAAAGUUCAUCAAUUAUCGCGGGCGUGGGUCACCAACGAUGGGUGGUCAUCCUCACUGAUCUCAAAAAUAUGGCGGACUGUCAUGAAUAGCGGACAUUGAUUGGUCCAAUUUAAAGCUUGCAUUAUAAUGACUGCAUGACGACAGCGAAAUAGCGAACAUUUCUUGAUUUGAUGAUUGAUAAAUCUCUUGCAAAUAUAGUUCAUUUUUGCUCGCAUUUUUGCAAGAUUUUGUAAAUUUCAAGAAAGAAAGGGCGAAAGAAUCGGCUAAAAGAAGGGAGCCGACGUUAACGAAGGUAAGUUU